rnacentral:rRNA from 1 species
UUUCGACGACCGCUGGCGGCAGGCCUAACACAUGCAAGUCGAGCGCACCUCUUCGGAGGUGAGCGGCGCACGGGUGAGUAACGCGUGGGAACCUACCCUGGGGUAGGGGAUAACCGCUGGAAACGGCGGCUAAUACCCUAUACGUCCUUCGGGAGAAAGAUUUAUCGCCCUGGGAUGGGCCCGCGUCGGAUUAGCUAGUUGGUGGGGUAAAGGCUCACCAAGGCGACGAUCCGUAGCUGGUCUGAGAGGAUGAUCAGCCACACUGGGACUGAGACACGGCCCAGACUCCUACGGGAGGCAGCAGUGGGGAAUAUUGGACAAUGGGCGCAAGCCUGAUCCAGCCAUGCCGCGUGAGUGAAGAAGGCCUUAGGGUUGUAAAGCUCUUUCACCCGCGAAGAUGAUGACGGUAGCGGGAGAAGAAGCCCCGGCUAACUCCGUGCCAGCAGCCGCGGUAAUACGGAGGGGGCAAGCGUUGUUCGGAUUUACUGGGCGUAAAGGGCGCGUAGGCGGAUGUUCUUGUCAGAGGUGAAAGCCCCGGGCUCAACCUGGGAAUUGCCUUUGAAACGGGACGUCUGGAGUUCGGAAGAGGGUAGCGGAAUUCCCAGUGUAGAGGUGAAAUUCGUAGAUAUUGGGAAGAACACCAGUAGCGAAGGCGGCUACCUGGUCCGACACUGACCCUGAGGCGCGAAAGCGUUGGGGAGCAAACAGGAUUAGAUACCCUGGUA